AUUAUAUUUAACCGGAGAUUUUUAUAGUUGUUAGGAGAAACACACACCAGUUGUUCGGCUUAAAGAGCCGAAUGUCUUUUCUUAUAUUGAAUAUAACUUGGGAGAACAGUACAGAGGUCAAGUGUGUCUGAGGGCAUACAGACUCGGUUGGUCUACUUAAGAAAUACUCUUAAGAAAAACAGUAAAUGCGGAAAAGUAAAAAUUACAAGUAGACUACUCCUAAGAAAUACGAGGAAAAUACGAAGAAAAAUAAAAAUGGUCUUAUGCUCACGGGAAAAGGAUUUCUUUUCAAGGCGUUAUUAGUCUAUUUAUAGAUCGCCCCUGUUGAUCCGUUAUUGCCUAUCCUGAUUGGCCAUUACUCUUAUUUUUUCGGGCCACUUUCAGCCGAUCGAAACCGUCUCUAACUGCUUGCGGUUGUUAUAACUUUCUUUAAAUUACGUGAUUUAAGAUUCUUCUGAUACUCCUGGUGCACUGCGAAUCAAUAAAACUGAAGAGAGU
rnacentral:lncRNA from 1 species